ACCAGGUAUGGGGGCUCAUGCCUGUAAUCCCAGCAACUCAGGAGGCUGGGGCAGGAGGAUUGCGAGUUUGACACCAGCCUCAGCAACUUAGUGAGGCCCUAAGCAACUUAGGGAGACCCUGUCUCAA
rnacentral:sRNA from 1 species